AAAAUGCGAUAAGUAAUGUGAAUUGCAGAAUUCAGUGAAUCAUCGAAUCUUUGAACGCACAUUGCGCCCGCCAGUAUUCUGGCGGGCAUGCCUGUUCGAGCGUCAUUUCAACCCUCAAGCCCCCGGGUUUGGUGUUGGGAAUCGGGCUGCGGUUCUACCGCGUCCCGGCCCCGAAAUCUAGUGGCGGUCUCGCUGCAGCCUCCAUUGCGUAGUAGCUAACACCUCGCAACUGGAACGCGGCGCGGCCAAGCCGUUAAACCCCCAACUUCUGAAUGUUGACCUCGGAUCAGGUAGGAAUACCCGCUGAACUUAAGC
rnacentral:misc_RNA from 1 species